rnacentral:rRNA from 1 species
AGGGAAUCUUCCACAAUGGACGGAAGUCUGAUGGAGCAAUGCCGCGUGAACGAAGAAGGUUCUCGGAUCGUAAAGUUCUGUUGUGAGGGAAGAACACGUACGGGAGUAACUGCCCGUACCUUGACGGUACCUCAUUAGAAAGCCACGGCUAACUACGUGCCAGCAGCCGCGGUAAUACGUAGGUGGCAAGCGUUGUCCGGAAUUAUUGGGCGUAAAGCGCGCGCAGGCGGUCUUUUAAGUCUGAUGUGAAAGCCCACGGCUCAACCGUGGAAGGUCAUUGGAAGCUGGGAGACUUGAGUACAGAAGAGGAAAGCGGAAUUCCACGUGUAGCGGUGAAAUGCGUAGAGAUGUGGAGGAACACCAGUGGCGAAGGCGGCUUUCUGGUCUGUAACUGACGCUGAGGCGCGAAAGCGUGGGGAGCAAAC